rnacentral:rRNA from 1 species
AUACGUAGGGGGCGAGCGUUGUCCGGAAUGAUUGGGCGUAAAGGGCGCGUAGGCGGCCCGGUAAGUCUGGAGUGAAAGUCCUGUUUUUAAGAUGGGAAUUGCUUUGGAUACUGUCGGGCUUGAGUGCAGGAGAGGAAAGUGGAAUUCCCAGUGUAGCGGUGAAAUGCGUAGAGAUUGGGAGGAACGCCAGUGGCGAAGGCGACUUACUGGACUGUAACUGACGCUGAGGCGCGAAAGUGUGGGGAGCAAACAGGAUUAGAUACCCUGGUAGUCCACGCUGUAAACGAUGAUUACUAGGUGUGGGGGGACUGACCCCUUCCGUGCCGCAGUUAACGCAAUAAGUAAUCCACCUGGGGAGUACGGCCGCAAGGUUGGAACUCAAAUGAAUUGACGGGG